CGCGCCCCGCUGACACUUUGUGAUGCGCGCGCUUUUGAAUAGGCUCGGGGAACGCGGUGCUAUAAGCAAAAGCCGUUUAGAGAAUCUGGCUGAGCCUUGUAGUUCCAGUACAGUUGGAAAGCCCCCGUUUACAUAUAGGCUUUUCAUUGUACUUAUAUAUGUCACUUUUUUGGAUUAGAGACCUCUGGUGGUAAAGGGGGGUAUGUGCAGGAUUUGGUUUUCACGUAAUGUUUUUUUUUUUUUUUUGUUCAAGCUUUAUUAAAAGCAACUUCAAACGGACAGAAAUAGGAGAAAGUAAACGAGCUGUUUCCGGGUGUUCUCGUCUCGUGGAUCACGUGCCACAGGCAGAAGUCAGCUGUAUGUGUCCCCUCCGAGGAAGCAAGGGCUGAAUUUCAUGGAGGAAGGAGGGAAGAGUCAUGUUCCAGCAGUAGACAGCAACACAUCCUCCCCUGGGCACCAUGUUGCUGCAGCAGGAGAAAAUAUUGAGGUAAUCGAUGAAGGCUUACCAGACGAUCUGCCUUCUCUGGACUCAGGCGCUGUGGAACAGCUGAGUGAGGGGCUCAUUUCUCAUUACUUGCCCAGUCUUCAAGACUCAAAGCUUGCCUUACAGGAACUUACGCAUUGGGUGAAGAUAUCCAGAUUCACCACUGACCAGGAGUUUAGAACAAAAAAGUGUUAUAUGUCCAAGAACUUCUAUCAAGCUAUUUUGCCCUGCAGGCAAAAUCAAGUGGUAUUAUUAGACACACUUGAGCAAGAAAUUUCCAAAUUUAGAGAGUGUAAUUCAAUUCUGGAUAUCAACGCUCUGAGGCCAAGUAUUACCACAACAAGUUAGUGAACAUAAGGAAGGAAAUGAUUCUGUUACAUGAAAAGACCUCAAAAUUAAAAAAAAGAGCAUUGAAGCUCCAACAGAAAAAGCAGGAGGAAAACCUAAAACAAGAACAGCAGCGAGAGCGGGAGCUUGAACGAGAAAAACAGUUAACGGCUAAGCCGGCAAAAAGGACAUGAAAAGUCCAAUAUACUGCAGUCUGUUCUGAUCUGUAAUGCUUAAUCCACAUCCUCAAUCAACUUCAAUAGACUCCGAAGACCCUUAUGAACUAUGAAAACUGCUCUGCCUUGUCCUCUGUGUUGUGUAUUAUAUUAUGUUUAUAGAUGAAAAUUUUAAGAUCAUAGUUUUAUUUAUAUUUACUUAUGAUUAUUUCUUUUACUGUGUAAUGUGUAUCAUGUUUACUUUGCACCACCUAGUGGCCAGCUAGAAUUUACUCCAUUAUAGGACUACAGUCUUAUAAAAUAGUUGGUGGAACGCCCUUUUUCCACGGUGAGUUCUGCAUUCCACAUGGUACAAGCUCAUCUGCAUGUGAAAGUCUUUUCUGAGCCAUAAACUAAUUUUCAGAUAUUUGCUUCACUUCUUCAAUGACAGAUUUAGAUAAAGGUGAAGUUAUGCCAAGGUACACAAUCGUAUAAAGGCAUGAGAAUGUGCUACUUUAUACAAACAUUAUUUCUAAUUCUAGGUUCAAGUCUUCAGACAAUUAGGACUCAUUCACACUAUGUUUCAAGCAGAAUCCUGCACAGAAAUUAUAGUGCAGCAGCCCUAUUAUGCUGCACCAUUCACAAAUCCCAGCUUAAAGAAGAAAGUUUAUGCUUUUGGCGGAAUCCGCACCGAGAUGGCACAUUUCCUAAUGUUCCUGUGGCCGGCUUGUUUUUCCGGCACCCGCUCCAGACAAAAUCUAUACCCAGAAUAUCUCCAGGCGGAGAUUGCUUAGUGUAAAUGAACCCUUACCAUUUCAGGCUAUAUGAAGACAAAUUUAGUUUUGAUGUAAUUUACAGCUAGCUCAUUAACCUAACCAAAUAUCAUCAUCCUUUACCUCCUGGGACUUUUGGUUCCCUGCUUGAAUGUUAGGGCUGGGUUCACACCACGGAAUCUCUGCUAAAGAUUCAGAGGGCUUCGCUAGGACUGCGCAGACUUCAUUGCCGUCUCCAUAGAUGGCAAUGCAUUUCUGAGUGGAUCUGCUGAAAGAAUACUCAUGUGAACCCAUUCUUUUAGCAGAUAUGUUCAGAAAUGCAUUGCCAUCUCUGGGGACAGCUACGUGGUCCUAGUGCUGCCCAUUGGAUCUCUGCCUGAAAUUCCAGUCAUCUAUUCCAUAGUGUGAACUCAGCCUAGGUGGCACACUUUCUUAAACUCAUACCCUAGAUGCAGCCAUUUUUAUUUUGGCUAUUACAGGUUAAUCUUUCUAGUUUAGUUCAGUAAUUAGACUCUCUGUAUAUUUCCUUAUGUCUGUCUGGUGGGGGGCAUAGAAAACAAUCCAUUAGUAUGUAAAUACUCUGCCUGAAAUAAAUGAUGCUUCAUGGUAACACAAUAA